rnacentral:rRNA from 1 species
AUGCAGUUUCAGCGCAAGAAUUCAAUGGGGAAGAAAAAAAAGCAUGCUAAAACGUGGCCCAUUGAGAAGCCGCAGCACCUUUAUCUUGUCCUGGAUGACUGGUCAUGGGGAUAUAGUAUUCGAAAGAUCGACUUGACAUUUGGCGACGAGCGGAGGGGUGCCAUCUACACCAGCGAGGAUAGACUACCAUCUGCCAUGUUUUGCUUGCAGGGACGUCGUGGCGAGCCCAAAGCCAUCAUGGGUGCUUUUGACAACAUGAUUUUGGCUAUGCCACCCUUGGACCACAUACACGGGAUGAACAAUUUGGGUCUACAUUGUGGUGCCGUAAUUGACAUUCAUGCACGGACCUUCAUUAAUGGACCAUGGCAGGACACGUCGCUGGAUGUGGUCAACCCAAUCUACAUUCCUGUUGGUGGCAGGCUCUUUUUCCUUGGUGAUAGCUCCUCCUGGAUGCUCUACCAGGCAUGUGAUGAUGCCUACUUCUAUAACUUCGUGUGGGCGUGGUCGGAGCUCCCCAAGCCAAUCUUUCAGUGUGAACUUGUCACCUCCUAUGCCGUGCACCCAGAUGAGCGGACCAUCUUCGUUAGCGGGUCGUUUGACGCCCCUACCACCUUCAGCAUCAACACAACCGAUCCCGCCACCAUCGGCUUGGAGGAGCCUGUGAACCCUCAGUGGAAGCAACAUGGUAUGUGGCAGCUGCCCUUCACUGGACGUGGUUAUUUCGAUCCUGAGUUGGACGCCUGGGUUGGGCUUUCCGCACAGCUGGACACCAUUGGCCACAUCUGCUCAUGUGAUGUGGUGUCUACCAACUCCGACACAAGCCAUCAGCAGUGCCCAGCCCUGAAGGUCGGCAAAGAGAACUUAUUUGGCGAGUUCCUAGACGAGAGGCACAUAGGUGCCACCCUAGUCUAUACGGGUGGUGAGAGCAAAUUCUGCCUCCUGGAGGUCAUCUGCAUGCAAGCUGACUUAGCUAACCAGCCAACUGAAUCUGAUGAGAAGAAUGAGGACUUCGACGCUGGGUUGAAUGACACUUAUUCCGAUGAGACGACUGUCGGUGAGGUGACUGAUGAGAUGAAUGAGUACUCUACUAAUGAGGUGAAUGAGGAGCAAGAUCAGAAACGUUUUUUGCGGUUGACGACCUUUUCACUUAGGUAUGACAGGAAUGGAGACCUGACAACUGGCAAUAGCCGGCGGGUUCGGUACUAUAGUUUGCCUCAAGGAGUUACUAAUUCGAUGCUUGAGUAUCCCGUGGCAUUCUGGAUGUAA